rnacentral:lncRNA from 1 species
CAAAACCUUUUUUUUUUAAAUGUUAUAGUAAAUUCACAGCAUGGUAGCUUUAGUUGUCUGCAGCAUUGCAAGAUAGGUAGGCUCAGAGAGUAAUGUAAUAUAUAUGUAACGUUACCUAAGUGCUUAUUGUUUGCUGGCUAUUCUAAGUACUUUCAAAUAUUAAUUCAUGUAACUAUGAUAACUCAGUGAGGGAGGGACUGUUAUGACCCCCACUUUCUAAGAUCACAUGACUAGUAAGUGCCCAAGCCAGGGGUCGAGCCCCAGCUGCCCGGUCUGACAGCAGAGCCGGUUUCAUGGGCUUGUGACCUAAUGCGGCCACACAGGGACCCAUAGUUAGGAGGGGCCCGUGCUUGGUUUGAUAGACUACUCUCUCUCUCUUGAAUUUCUUACCAUAUUUUGAACAAGGGGCUCACAUGUGUUUUGCACUGGAUCUUUCAGAUGAUUUAGCCCGUCGGGCUUGAGAACCUGAGCUCCUAAAGAGCCAUGUCCACUGCAACAGGCGUCUAACCCCUAAUGCAGGGCCGGCCCACCGGCAGCUCUGCACUAAACAGGAAUUCCAUUCCCUCCGUGCUGCUUUAACCAGGCAGCAAACAAUGAGAAGGCGGCUCGUGGUAUUUAAGUUGCUUGUUUUUUCUUUUUAAGUCUUUCUUAUGAGUAUGAUAUAAAUCUGAUAAAGAAAGGGUUAGAAAUGAACAAAGAAAGUGACUUUGGGUGAAAAGAGGCGUGGCCACCCAAGAUGACGUCAAAUCAGAAUGCUGAGGCUGCCUCAGCCUUUCUCAAUCUCCUCCUCUGAAUAAAGUAGGCACAUCUGUCAUCAGGACGUUUUUUCCCAGGAAGAUAUAGAACACGAUGGAAGAUAACAUGAGAAAAGAAUGUGUAUCUCUGCGUGACCGGGUCACUUUGCUGUACAGCAGAAAUGGACAGAACAUUGCAAAUCAACCAUACUUUUAAAAAAAAUAAAAAUGGAAAGAAAGUGUUCUGAUUUCAGCUCCUGCUGAAGAAGGUCAGGAGCUAGCUUGUCCUUUCUAAUGUCGCUUGAAGCACCCUGGAGUGCACCUUUUACUGCAAGAGACUUGGUGAAAAAUGAGUCAGUCGCACCAGUCUUAAAACGAGAGGCAGGGAGAUCACUCACCCCGCCCACACCGACUUCCCCGGGAGAUUUUUAUCGGCAGUCCGGCUGUCCUAAGGGUUUGAGCCGCUUGCCAGGUCAGAGCCUCACUGUUUCAGAGAGGACAUCCCUAAGUCAUCACAGGAAGCCCUCGCCUGGAACGAAGAGCGCUAUGAAACCACAACAACAAGAGGAAUGUCAGGCAGUCUUAGACGGAAGAGCGAGAAGUCCUGGCUUGAAGGGCGGUGGCCCGAGCUUCCCCUUAUAAAAGCAGCUUGAAACACUCUGUUCACUUGGCUUUACCAUGUCAGUCAGGUUAACGUGGGGAAAUGGGCCACGCCCUUCCUGUGCAUCCACUGGUGCUGAGUCGGUGCUUCGUAUGGUCUGCAAAGCCCCAUCUCGCCCAAAGGAGUUUGAUAGCGAGAGGAAGCAUCUUUUAUCUGCAGUCUGUCCUCGAGAAUGUUACAGGUCACCCUCCGUCCGGCUCAGUGUUUGGGGCCUUGCGGAGUGUCUGCACCCAGAUCUCCUCAUCCGCCCUGAGCUUUUGCCUCUCUAAGGCCCAGCACCCCAACAUUCUAAGUCCAGGUGUCUCCAGCUGUGCUCUGACUGCCACUCAAGGUGAAACUUGGAGUUGUCACAGCUCUUUCUCUUCCCUCCAGAGUCCUUACGUGAUGCCAGGCUCUGUCCUGUCUCUCAAACAACACACUGUGGAAUAAUUUUUGUUUUUGACUUUUUCCUUACUCCCCAUGUAAUUGCCUUUUAAAAAAAAAAAAAAA